GACGAACGCUGGCGGCGUGCUUAACACAUGCAAGUCGAACGGAAAGGCCCUGCUUUUGUGGGUUGCUCGAGUGGCGAACGGGUGAGUAACACGUGAGUAACCUGCCCUUGACUUUGGGAUAACUUCAGGAAACUGGGGCUAAUAUCGGAUAGGAUCUCCUGCUGCAUGUUGGGGGUUGGAAAGUUUCGGCGGUUGGGGAUGGACUCGCGGCUUAUCAGCUUGUUGGUGGGGUAGUGGCUUACCAAGGCUUUGACGGGUAGCCGGCCUGGGAGGGUGACCGGGCACAUGGGGACUGAGAGAGGGACCAGAAGCCUAAGGGAGGCAGCAGGGGAGAAUAUUACAGAGUGAGCGGAAGCCUGAUGCAGAAACGUCGCGUGCGGGAUAACGGCCUUCGGGUUAUAAACAGAUUUCGCCUGUGACGAAGCGGGAGUGACGGUAAUGGGUAAAGAAGCACCGGCUAACUACGUG
rnacentral:rRNA from 1 species